rnacentral:tRNA from 1 species
GGGCAGGUGGCGGAAUUGGUAUACGCGUACGUUUGAGGGGCGUAUGGGGUAACCCGUGCGGGUUCAAGUCCCGCCCUGCCCA